rnacentral:sRNA from 1 species
GCUCCCGCUCCAUUGUCUGGGAACUGCAGCCGCGGGGCGGGUGGCGGCGGCGGCGGCGGCCGGGACCCAGCGGGCCAGGUGGGGCCGGCGCGGAGCGGGUGCGGGAGAUGCGGGGCGGGACCGGGGCCACCUGAGCCGCCCGCCUCGUCCUCGCCUUCUGUGGGAAGGAUGUGCGCGCGGAUGGCCGGGCGCGCUGCAGCGGCCCCUCGGGGGCCCUACGGCCCCUGGCUCUGCCUCCUGGUGGCCCUCGCCCUGGACGUCGUGAGAGGCUCCUGGUCCCCACCCCACCCCCAGGGCAAGCAAGUGCCUUCACAGACCUCU